ensembl:lincRNA
UGCCCGGCUACAUCAGCCAGCUUUUCUAAACCUCAGCUGGGGUUCUUGGCUUGACCGGGGGUCAGAUAGACUCCUUACAGACGGGGCUCAGGCCAGGCGUGCCAGAAGCGGUGCCGCUGUUUCUGUUCAGCGGCGGCCAGGACCGUAAACGGAAGGCUGGAGGCAGGAAGUCUCCGGUCCCUCGGUGUUAUAAAGGGCUGCCAAGUGCGGGGAAGAAUCCUAAGCAAGCCGGGAAGAAACAACAGGAUCUGUUCAGAUGACCUUCGGGGGAGAGGCCGCCGCUGUAAGCCCUAGUCUUUAUUAUCAGCACUAUUCGUUGUCAAAUGAACCCUUCACGCCUACUAAGGACUGUACAAGUGACGCCUUCAAUAAUGCAAAUGUCUAAUUUGCUAUUGUCCAGUCCAACAAAUAAGGCCACAAUAGUGUAUCUUUAACUUCAAAUGCUAAAAAGGAAGAUAUUUGCCUCUGCACUGAUCUGUCUUGCGGAGUGGAAAGGGAAGAGGAAAUGGGAGCAAAGGCCACACGUCAGCUGUGAGGAACAAGAAAUACGACUAUGCACACAGCCUGAUGCCGCCUCCAUGGUGUCUGAAGCAAGCCAUGGGGUGAUGUCACAGUCACUUGGAAAAUGCAGCCAGUAGAUUUCUACAAGGGUCCCCGACCACCCCCACUCCUGCUGCUCACGGCCUGGUGGAACCCCCUUCUCUUGGAUAAACCCUUCCUAACUCACAGAACUCAGCCCAGUAGGAUUGUUAGCUUCGUGAUUAGAUUGCAAUAGGUUUGGCUGCUCUGGUCGUAGCAGACUAUCCCCCAAUGUGCACACUUCUCAGCUUCUACCUCUCUGCACUAUGCAGAGAGCCCCAGUGAAUAUCCAGGGAGGAACAGAGACUCUGCCCAAUGGCCCACAAGGAACUGAAUCAGCCCCCAGUCCUGUGAGAUGACAGCAGAGCUUCCCCCGCCAGCCUUCCAAGGAGACUCAUUGGGUGACCCGGUGAUCUCAGUCUUGUGAGGGAGCCUGAGACAGAUAGGUGAAGUACACACUGCCCAGACUCCUGGCCCACAGCAUCUGCAAGAUCAUCAGUGUGUGAGGUUUGCAGCCACUGAGUAAUGGAAAACUUUGUUACACAGCAAGAGAUAGCUGAUACAGUGACCAACAGGGCUCUGACUUCAGGAAUCAAACCAGACCCAGGUGUUUGAAAGGCACCAGAGACAGUGGGUCAGUGUGUGGUCAGAAAGUCCUCAGGGAGAUGCUGAAGGCCAGCAGGCAGGGAGAGCACUCACAGAGAUCAAGGAAGUAGCUUCCACUCACACACAUGUACACUCACACGUGCAUGUGCACACGCACACACACACACACACGCACAUGCACACACACACGCACAUGCACACACACACAGUAUAGAUACAUUUUCUGAGCCAAAUUUGACUUUUGCUUGAAAGUGGGUGACACGAUAGGAAGCUGGAGUAGACAGACGGGAACAGGAGACAGGAAGAAAAUGAAAGCAGCUAUGGGGACUUAGAACACUUAUACCCUGGAUUGGAAAUGUCCAGGAGUGCGCUUGAACCCUCCUGGAGGAGUUCCAAAGAGUCCAUUUUUAUAUAUUCAGGAAAUUUGCCAGCUAGUUGUUAAAUAUGAC